rnacentral:rRNA from 1 species
GAACGCUAGCUACAGGCUUAACACAUGCAAGUCGAGGGGCAGCAUGGUCUUAGCUUGCUAAGGCCGAUGGCGACCGGCGCACGGGUGAGUAACACGUAUCCAACCUGCCGUCUACUCUUGGACAGCCUUCUGAAAGGAAGAUUAAUACAAGAUGGCAUCAUGAGUCCGCAUGUUCACAUGAUUAAAGGUAUUCCGGUAGACGAUGGGGAUGCGUUCCAUUAGAUAGUAGGCGGGGUAACGGCCCACCUAGUCUUCGAUGGAUAGGGGUUCUGAGAGGAAGGUCCCCCACAUUGGAACUGAGACACGGUCCAAACUCCUACGGGAGGCAGCAGUGAGGAAUAUUGGUCAAUGGGCGAGAGCCUGAACCAGCCAAGUAGCGUGAAGGAUGACUGCCCUAUGGGUUGUAAACUUCUUUUAUAAAGGAAUAAAGUCGGGUAUGCAUACCCGUUUGCAUGUACUUUAUGAAUAAGGAUCGGCUAACUCCGUGCCAGCAGCCGCGGUAAUACGGAGGAUCCGAGCGUUAUCCGGAUUUAUUGGGUUUAAAGGGAGCGUAGAUGGAUGUUUAAGUCAGUUGUGAAAGUUUGCGGCUCAACCGUAAAAUUGCAGUUGAUACUGGAUAUCUUGAGUGCAGUUGAGGCAGGCGGAAUUCGUGGUGUAGCGGUGAAAUGCUUAGAUAUCACGAAGAACUCCGAUUGCGAAGGCAGCCUGCUAAGCUGCAACUGACAUUGAGGCUCGAAAGUGUGGGUAUCAAACAGGAUUAGAUACCCUGGUAGUCCACACGGUAAACGAUGAAUACUCGCUGUUUGCGAUAUACUGCAAGCGGCCAAGCGAAAGCGUUAAGUAUUCCACCUGGGGAGUACGCCGGCAACGGUGAAACUCAAAGGAAUUGACGGGGGCCCGCACAAGCGGAGGAACAUGUGGUUUAAUUCGAUGAUACGCGAGGAACCUUACCCGGGCUUAAAUUGCAGAUGAAUUACGGUGAAAGCCGUAAGCCGCAAGGCAUCUGUGAAGGUGCUGCAUGGUUGUCGUCAGCUCGUGCCGUGAGGUGUCGGCUUAAGUGCCAUAACGAGCGCAACCCUUGUUGUCAGUUACUAACAGGUUCCGCUGAGGACUCUGACAAGACUGCCAUCGUAAGAUGUGAGGAAGGUGGGGAUGACGUCAAAUCAGCACGGCCCUUACGUCCGGGGCUACACACGUGUUACAAUGGGGGGUACAGAGGGCCGCUACCACGCGAGUGGAUGCCAAUCCCCAAAACCUCUCUCAGUUCGGACUGGAGUCUGCAACCCGACUCCACGAAGCUGGAUUCGCUAGUAAUCGCGCAUCAGCCACGGCGCGGUGAAUACGUUCCCGGGCCUUGUACACACCGCCCGUCAAGCCAUGGGAGCCGGGGGUACCUGAAGUGCGUAACCGCGAGGAGCGCCCUAGGGUAAAACUGGUGACUGGGGCUAA